GAUGAACGCUGGCGGCGUGCCUAACACAUGCAAGUCGAACGAAGCACCUUACCUGAUUCUUCGGAUGAAAGUUUGGUGACUGAGUGGCGGACGGGUGAGUAACGCGUGGGUAACCUGCCCUGUACAGGGGGAUAACAGCUGGAAACGGCUGCUAAUACCGCAUAAGCGCACGAGGAGACAUCUCCUUGUGUGAAAAACUCCGGUGGUACAGGAUGGGCCCGCGUCUGAUUAGCUGGUUGGCAGGGUAACGGCCUACCAAGGCAACGAUCAGUAGCCGGUCUGAGAGGAUGAACGGCCACAGUGGAACUGAGACACGGUCCAAACUCCUACGGGAGGCAGCAGUGGGGAAUAUUGCACAAUGGGGGAAACCCUGAUGCAGCAACGCCGCGUGAGUGAAGAAGUAUUUCGGUAUGUAAAGCUCUAUCAGCAGGGAAGAUAAUGACGGUACCUGACUAAGAAGCUCCGGCUAAAUACGUG
rnacentral:rRNA from 1 species